CGCACCCAGAAACCCUUUGUGAACUUAUACCUAUCUGUUGCCUCGGCGCAGGCCGGCCUUUUGUGACAAAGGCCCCCUGGAAACAGGGAGCAGCCCGCCGGCGGCCAACUAAACUCUUGUUUCUUUAGUGAAUCUCUGAGUAAAAAACAUAAAUGAAUCAAAACUUUCAACAACGGAUCUCUUGGUUCUGGCAUCGAUGAAGAACGCAGCGAAAUGCGAUAAGUAAUGUGAAUUGCAGAAUUCAGUGAAUCAUCGAAUCUUUGAACGCACAUUGCGCCCUCUGGUAUUCCGGAGGGCAUGCCUGUUCGAGCGUCAUUUCAACCCUCAAGCCUGGCUUGGUGAUGGGGCACUGCCUUCUAGCGAGGGCAGGCCCUGAAAUCUAGUGGCGAGCUCGCUAGGACCCCGAGCGUAGUAGUUAUAUCUCGUUCUGGAAGGCCCUGGCGGUGCCCUGCCGUUAAACCCCCAACUUCUGAAAAUUUGACCUCGGAUCAGGUAGGAAUACCCGCUGAACUUAAGCAUAUCAAUAA
rnacentral:rRNA from 1 species